GCCGGGCGUGGUGGCGCGCGCCUGUAGUCCCAGCUACUCGGGAGGCUGAGGUGGGAGGAUCGCUUGAGUCCAGGAGUUCUGGGCUGCAGUGCGCUAUGCCGAUCGGGUGUCCGCACUAAGUUCGGCAUCAAUAUGGUGACCUCCCGGGAGCGGGGGACCACCAGGUUGCCUAAGGAGGGGUGAACCGGCCCAGGUCGGAAACGGAGCAGGUCAAAACUCCCGUGCUGAUCAGUAGUGGGAUCGCGCCUGUGAAUAGCCACUGUACUCCAGCCUGGGCAAUACAGUGAGACCCUGUCUCU
rnacentral:SRP_RNA from 1 species